AACGAACGCUGGCGGCAUGCCUAACACAUGCAAGUCGAACGAAGGCUUCGGCCUUAGUGGCGCACGGGUGCGUAACGCGUGGGAAUCUGCCCUUUGGUUCAGAAUAACAGCUGGAAACGGCUGCUAAUACCGGAUGAUGACGAAAGUCCAAAGAUUUAUCGCCAGAGGAUGAGCCCGCGUUGGAUUAGGUAGUUGGUGGGGUAAAGGCCUACCAAGCCGACGAUCCAUAGCUGGUCUGAGAGGAUGAUCAGCCACACUGGGACUGAGACACGGCCCAGACUCCUACGGGAGGCAGCAGUGGGGAAUAUUGGACAAUGGGCGCAAGCCUGAUCCAGCAAUGCCGCGUGAGUGAUGAAGGCCCUAGGGUUGUAAAGCUCUUUUACCCGGGAAGAUAAUGACUGUACCGGGAGAAUAAGCCCCGGCUAACUCCGUG
rnacentral:rRNA from 1 species